rnacentral:lncRNA from 1 species
GCAAAAAUGGCACUGAGCCUGAGUCUUUCCACAAGGUGCUCAAGGGUCUUUAUGAGAAGGGCAGAAAGAUGGACUGGAAGGUGCCUGAGCCUGAGGGCCAAACAAGUCCCAAGAAUGCAGCUGUCUUCUCCUCAGUGCUGGCGCUCUGACUACCCUUCCCAAAGAACCACGGCCCUCUCCCUUUACUGUUCUAUAGCCCCAGAACUGGGAGAUGGCUUCCUAAGUUGGCUAUACCUUGUCCACUUCCAGUACUGGACGUGCUCAGGGUCUAGGGUCACAGAUGGUGCUAUUAAUUGAACUGGAACACAGCAGAAUUGUUGCAAAGGUUCUAGGAGCCAGAUUCAUUCCUUCUUCAUUCUUUGCAAAACAGUGGUACAGACAUGGAGUCUAGAAUUGACCCAGAUGGAAAGUAAUUGGUAUUCUUAAUAUCCUGGGUGACUAAUAUCCAGGCAGAGAAGCUCCUGGAACCAUAACUGUAAGUUCCUAGCUGGCUAGGGAUUGAAGUCCUGGACAGUGACAGAGGAUACCACAGUAGUUCAAGACUUAGCACAAGUCACCAACUGCUUCAGGGAUACCUGGAGGGGCCAGCAAGUAGAGUGUUGGUGGCCCAAGCAAACCAGUGUUGCCAAUACCAUUGCCAAAAGGGCCUUUGGAUCCUGGACAAAGCUUGGCUGCCGGCUUCAUUUAUUCCUGCUGAUGGCUGAGAAGCAUCUGUCUUCCAUCCCACUUGCCUGUCCCAAGUUUUGUUCCAUUUUUUAAAAAUUUGUUGUAAACUGCAUGUUUUAUAAAAUAAAAAUAAAAUAUCGUUUGUUA